rnacentral:rRNA from 1 species
UACGGAGGGUGCAAACGUUGUUCGGAAUCACUGGGCGUAAAGGACGCGUAGGCGGGUUGGCAAGUCAGAUGUGAAAUCCUACAGCUUAACUGUAGAACUGCAUUUGAAACUGCUAACCUAGAGUAUGGGAGGGGGAGAUGGAAUUAGUGGUGUAGGGGUAAAAUCCGUAGAUAUCACUAGGUAUACCGAAAGCGAAGGCGAUCUCCUGGAACAUAACUGACGCUAAGGCGUGAAAGCGUGGGGAGCAAACAGGAUUAGAAACCCUAGUAGUCC